rnacentral:tRNA from 1 species
CCGGUAGUUCAGCUGGUUAGAACGCCAGCCUGUCACGCUGGAGGUCAAGGGUUCGAGUCCCUUUCG